UACGGAGGUGGCAAGCGUUGUUCGGAAUUACUGGGCGUAAAGGGCGCUUAGGCGGCAAGGCAAGUCAGGUGUGAAAGCCCCGAGCUUAACUCGGGAAUUGCAUCUGAAACUGCUGUGCUUGAGUUCUGGAGGGGGUAGUGGAAUUCCCAGUGUAGCGGUGAAAUGCGUAGAUAUUGGGAGGAACACCUGCGGCGAAGGCGGCUACCUGGACAGAAACUGACGCUGAGGCGCGAAAGCUAGGGGAGCGAACAGG
rnacentral:rRNA from 1 species